rnacentral:rRNA from 1 species
UACGUAGGGUGCAAGCGUUGUCCGGAAUUAUUGGGCGUAAAGAGCUCGUAGGCGGUUUGUCGCGUCUGCUGUGAAAACUCGGGGCUUAACUCCGGGCCUGCAGUGGGUACGGGCAGACUAGAGUGCGGUAGGGGAGACUGGAAUUCCUGGUGUAGCGGUGAAAUGCGCAGAUAUCAGGAGGAACACCGGUGGCGAAGGCGGG